rnacentral:rRNA from 1 species
AUUGAACGCUGGCGGCAUGCCUUACACAUGCAAGUCGAACGGCAGCACGGGAGCAAUCCUGGUGGCGAGUGGCGAACGGGUGAGUAAUAUAUCGGAACGUGCCCAGUCGUGGGGAUAACGUAGCGAAAGUUACGCUAAUACCGCAUACGAUCUAAGGAUGAAAGCGGGGGACUCGCAAGAGCCUCGCGCGAUUGGAGCGGCCGAUAUCAGAUUAGGUAGUUGGUGGGGUAAAGGCUCACCAAGCCAACGAUCUGUAGCUGGUCUGAGAGGAUGAUCAGUCACACUGGAACUGAGACACGGUCCAGACUCCUACGGGAGGCAGCAGUGGGGAAUAUUGGACAAUGGGCGAAAGCCUGAUCCAGCCAUGCCGCGUGUGUGAAGAAGGUCUUCGGAUUGUAAAGCACUUUAAGUUGGGAGGAAGGGUAGUAACCUAAUACGUUGCUACUUUGACGUUACCGACAGAAUAAGCACCGG